AAAAAAGGCUGCAGAGCUUCCUGCAAGGGGCUAAUAAAAAAGCCCCGCUCCAUCACUGCGGCUGUGAUGUGUGACUAAAGCCCAUCUUCCCUCCACUGGGAGCAGAGGAGCCCUGCCCAGUCUGACUGCUGCCCAGUGCUGCUCCCUGACUGCACGCUCUCUUGGUGAGCCUCUGUCCUGCUGGCCGUGCCUUUUCUGUCCCCGUCCCCGUGCCGCUCCGUGCCCGUCUUUACCCUCCCGAGCACGUGGCGUGGUCGAUUCCUGUCUCCCGGUCCUGGUUUCCCUUUUUGUCUCUGUGUCCCUGCGUCCUUGCUGUGUGUUUGGGACUCCGUCUUUUUGUCUGUCCUUCUCCGUGCCUCACUCGUGUUCCCGUUCUGUUCCCUGUGGCUCUGUGGUGCUCCCCGUGCCAUUGUUUCCCCCAGGAUCCUUGUGUCCCGUUCGCUGCCCCUGUUCUUUUUUAAUCCCUCUCUCGUGCUGCCCAUCUAGCAUCCCUUUUUUGUGGUUUUGUUUUCUAUUUUUUUUUCCUCCAUUUCAUCCUGCACCCCGAUCUUCAUUUUCUUUCCUGUGUCCUCUCUGCUGCCACUCUCUGCCUCGUGUCCUCUGUGUCUGCGGGGCUGGGGAGGAACUUUAGCCCUCCUGGGGGCUGCCCCCCACCCCUUUCCUUGUGCCAGCAGGGUCCCUUUUUGGGGGCAUGGACCCGUGGGAAGGGUUCCCAUCAAGGGCCGUGCUGCCGUCCAGGGCAGCUGGAGCGGUUCUGUGCCUUCAUUUUGGGGGUGAGGGAAGAAGGCUG